GACGAACGCUGGCGGCGUGCCUAAUACAUGCAAGUAGAACGCACAGGAUGCACCGUAGUUUACUACACCGUAUUCUGUGAAUUGCGAACGGGUGAGUAACGCGUAGGUAACCUGCCUGGUAGCGGGGGAUAACUAUUGGAAACGAUAGCUAAUACCGCAUAAGAACAUUUACUGCAUGGUAGAUGUUUAAAAGGUGCAAAAGCAUCACUACCAGAUGGACCUGCGUUGUAUUAGCUAGUUGGUGAGGUAACGGCUCACCAAGGCAACGAUACAUAGCCGACCUGAGAGGGUGAUCGGCCACACUGGGACUGAGACACGGCCCAGACUCCUACGGGAGGCAGCAGUAGGGAAUCUUCGGCAAUGGGGGGAACCCUGACCGAGCAACGCCGCGUGAGUGAAGAAGGUUUUCGGAUCGUAAAGCUCUGUUGUUAAGGAAGAACGUGUGUGAGAGUGGAAAGUUCACACAGUGACGGUACUUAACCAGAAAGGGACGGCUAACUACGUGCCAGCAGCCGCGGUAAUACGUAGGUCCCGAGCGUUGUCCGGAUUUAUUGGGCGUAAAGCGAGCGCAGGCGGUUAGAUAAGUCUGAAGUGAAAGGCAGUGGCUCAACCAUUGUAGGCUUUGGAAACUGUUUAACUUGAGUGCAGAAGGGGAGAGUGGAAUUCCAUGUGUAGCGGUGAAAUGCGUAGAUAUAUGGAGGAACACCGGUGGCGAAAGCGGCUCUCUGGUCUGUAACUGACGCUGAGGCUCGAAAGCGUGGGGAGCGAACAGG
rnacentral:rRNA from 1 species